GGAGGGUUACCGAAGCGGUCAAACGGGUCAGACUGUAAAUCUGAUGGCUCCGGCCUUCGUAGGUUCGAAUCCUACACCCUCCAC
rnacentral:tRNA from 1 species